GAUGAACGCUGACAGAAUGCUUAACACAUGCAAGUCGAUGGGGAAGUGGUGCUUGCACCAUGGCAACCAUGGCGGACGGGUGAGUAACGCGUAAGGGACUUACCUGCAGGACUGGGAUAACAGGGGGAAACUCCUGACAAGACCGGAUAAGGUCAUGGAGCUGCAUGGCUUUAUGAUGAAAGGAGACGCCUGCGGAGAGCCUUGCGUCCUAUUAGCUAGUUGGUGAGGUAAUGGCUCACCAAGGCGAAGAUAGGUAGCCGGCCUGAGAGGGUGGACGGCCACAAGGGGACUGAGGUCCGGCCCUUACUCCUACGGGAGGCAGCAGUGGGGAAUAUUGGACAAUGGGGGCAACCCUGAUCCAGCAAUUCUGUGUGCACGAAGAAGGUUUUCGGAUUGUAAAGUGCUUUCAGCAGGGAAGAAGUAAGCGACGGUACCUGCAGAAGAAGCGACGGCUAAAUACGUG
rnacentral:rRNA from 1 species